rnacentral:rRNA from 1 species
GGUUAAGCGACUAAGCGUACACGGUGGAUGCCCUGGCAGUCAGAGGCGAUGAAGGACGUGCUAAUCUGCGAAAAGCGUCGGUAAGGUGAUAUGAACCGUUAUAACCGGCGAUGUCCGAAUGGGGAAACCCAGUGUGAUUCGUCACACUAUCGUUAACUGAAUACAUAGGUUAACGAGGCGAACCGGGGGAACUGAAACAUCUAAGUACCCCGAGGAAAAGAAAUCAACCGAGAUUCCCCCAGUAGCGGCGAGCGAACGGGGAGCAGCCCAGAGUCUGAAUCAGCUUGUGUGUUAGUGGAACGGUCUGGAAAGUCCGACGGUACAGGGUGAUAGUCCCGUACACCAAAAUGCACAGGCUGUGAACUCGAAGAGUAGGGCGGGACACGUGGUAUCCUGUCUGAAUAUGGGGGGACCAUCCUCCAAGGCUAAAUACUCCUGACUGACCGAUAGUGAACCAGUACCGUGAGGGAAAGGCGAAAAGAACCCCGGCGAGGGGAGUGAAAAAGAACCUGAAACCGUGUACGUACAAGCAGUGGGAGCACCUUCGGGUGUGACUGCGUACCUUUUGUAUAAUGGGUCAGCGACUUAUAUUCUGUAGCAAGGUUAACCGUAUAGGGGAGCCGCAGGGAAACCGAGUCUUAACUGGGCGUUAAGUUGCAGGGUAUAGACCCGAAACCCGGUGAUCUAGCCAUGGGCAGGUUGAAGGUUGGGUAACACUAACUGGAGGACCGAACCGACUAAUGUUGAAAAAUUAGCGGAUGACUUGUGGCUGGGGGUGAAAGGCCAAUCAAACCGGGAGAUAGCUGGUUCUCCCCGAAAGCUAUUUAGGUAGCGCCUCGUGAAUUCAUCUUCGGGGGUAGAGCACUGUUUCGGCUAGGGGGUCAUCCCGACUUACCAACCCGAUGCAAACUACGAAUACCGAAGAAUGUUAUCACGGGAGACACACGGCGGGUGCUAACGUCCGUCGUGAAGAGGGAAACAACCCAGACCGCCAGCUAAGGUCCCAAAGUCAUGGUUAAGUGGGAAACGAUGUGGGAAGGCACAGACAGCCAGGAUGUUGGCUUAGAAGCAGCCAUCAUUUAAAGAAAGCGUAAUAGCUCACUGGUCGAGUCGGCCUGCGCGGAAGAUGUAACGGGGCUAAACCAUGCACCGAAGCUGCGGCAGCGACACUAUGUGUUGUUGGGUAGGGGAGCGUUCUGUAAGCCUGCGAAGGUGACCUGUGAGGGUUGCUGGAGGUAUCAGAAGUGCGAAUGCUGACAUAAGUAACGAUAAAGCGGGUGAAAAGCCCGCUCGCCGGAAGACCAAGGGUUCCUGUCCAACGUUAAUCGGGGCAGGGUGAGUCGACCCCUAAGGCGAGGCCGAAAGGCGUAGUCGAUGGGAAACAGGUUAAUAUUCCUGUACUUGGUGUUACUGCGAAGGGGGGACGGAGAAGGCUAUGUUAGCCGGGCGACGGUUGUCCCGGUUUAAGCAUGUAGGCUGGUUAUCCAGGCAAAUCCGGAUAAUCAAGGCUGAGGUGUGAUGACGAGGUACUACGGUGCUGAAGUAACAAAUGCCCUGCUUCCAGGAAAAGCCUCUAAGCAUCAGGUAACAUCAAAUCGUACCCCAAACCGACACAGGUGGUCAGGUAGAGAAUACCAAGGCGCUUGAGAGAACUCGGGUGAAGGAACUAGGCAAAAUGGUGCCGUAACUUCGGGAGAAGGCACGCUGGUGUGUAGGUGAAGUCCCUGCGGAUGGAGCUGAGACCAGUCGAAGAUACCAGCUGGCUGCAACUGUUUAUUAAAAACACAGCACUGUGCAAACACGAAAGUGGACGUAUACGGUGUGACGCCUGCCCGGUGCCGGAAGGUUAAUUGAUGGGGUUAUCCGUAAGGAGAAGCUCUUGAUCGAAGCCCCGGUAAACGGCGGCCGUAACUAUAACGGUCCUAAGGUAGCGAAAUUCCUUGUCGGGUAAGUUCCGACCUGCACGAAUGGCGUAAUGAUGGCCAGGCUGUCUCCACCCGAGACUCAGUGAAAUUGAACUCGCUGUGAAGAUGCAGUGUACCCGCGGCAAGACGGAAAGACCCCGUGAACCUUUACUAUAGCUUGACACUGAACAUUGAGCCUUGAUGUGUAGGAUAGGUGGGAGGCUUUGAAGCGUGGACGCCAGUCUGCGUGGAGCCAACCUUGAAAUACCACCCUUUAAUGUUUGAUGUUCUAACGUUGGCCCCUUAUCGGGGUUGCGGACAGUGUCUGGUGGGUAGUUUGACUGGGGCGGUCUCCUCCCAAAGCGUAACGGAGGAGCACGAAGGUUAGCUAAUCCUGGUCGGACAUCAGGAGGUUAGUGCAAUGGCAUAAGCUAGCUUGACUGCGAGCGUGACGGCGCGAGCAGGUGCGAAAGCAGGUCAUAGUGAUCCGGUGGUUCUGAAUGGAAGGGCCAUCGCUCAACGGAUAAAAGGUACUCCGGGGAUAACAGGCUGAUACCGCCCAAGAGUUCAUAUCGACGGCGGUGUUUGGCACCUCGAUGUCGGCUCAUCACAUCCUGGGGCUGAAGUAGGUCCCAAGGGUAUGGCUGUUCGCCAUUUAAAGUGGUACGCGAGCUGGGUUUAGAACGUCGUGAGACAGUUCGGUCCCUAUCUGCCGUGGGCGCUGGAGAAUUGAGGGGGGCUGCUCCUAGUACGAGAGGACCGGAGUGGACGCAUCACUGGUGUUCGGGUUGUCAUGCCAAUGGCACUGCCCGGUAGCUAAAUGCGGAAGAGAUAAGUGCUGAAAGCAUCUAAGCACGAAACUUGCCCCGAGAUGAGUUCUCCCUGAGACUUUAAGUCUCCUGAAGGAACGUUAAAGACGAUGACGUUGAUAGGCCGGGUGUGUAAGCGCAGCGAUGCGUUGAGCUAACCGGUACUAAUGAACCGUGAGGCUUAACCUU